CAACGUAACGUCGUUUUUUACACUUCCCUAUUCUGCACAAUGCUAAUACCACUCCUCACUCCAAUGGAUAUUACUCCUGCAAACAUUUAUACUUACUGCCGAAAAUGGUACCAAAAUAAUCAUGAAUAAAUUAUCUAUCAACUGUAGUACGGGUUUUAUCUAAUUAUGUGAAACAAAAUAAAACGAGCAAAAAGUUUCACAAGCAUUUUUUGUAAUAUGUCGUUUUUCUGCCGGUCUUGGGACGUUUUGACUGUCAUUUUAUACUUUCGAUUUCGGAUAUUUUAAGAAUUGUUUUGAUUGUCAAUGACUUUACAAGGAUACAUUGACGUCUCCUGCAUCGUGAGAAAUAAAGCCAUAGAAUACAUUCAUAACACUCAAAUUCAGCCAGUCAGGAUGAUGGGAAGGAUUGCAGAACUGAGUUUCACUCUCACCUGACUGAUGCAGAUUCAGUAACCUAAUUGCUCAUGAUGGUUUCUGAGAAAAAAAAACAGCUUGGUGUAAUUUGACAGUAUUUUUCAGUAUUUGACAGUGGUUCUAUCAUGCAACAGUCAUACCAUGAAGUGUCUCACAGAUUCUCUCUCAAUUCCUGCAAUAUCCAAGAUUACAGUGUAGUGCAAAGAGGAUUAAUUUUCUUGCAAUAAGAAGUAUCUGCACUUCCAAAUACCCCUGUACAGCAUGAACAGUUCCUUUAUUUUUUGAGUGAUUAUAGAGUGAAAAUGUUUCCAUAUAAAAUGUUUUCUUUUUAUGUGUAAAACUUGUCAUGAAUGGUUACAAAUAAAUGCAUGGACAUUAUGAUUCCAAAUCUAUGCACAUUUUGAUUACCAUGGCAACUAAUGUUUUGUUUGCCUUUAAUCUUCCUAUUUAUAAUACUAUUAAUUGUAAAAAUGCAACAGUCAAGCAGUGAAUGGAAGAAUGUUAAUGUUCUUUGUCUUUUACCUUUUUCAAGCUCAUUCUUCAAAAUAUAAAGCAAUUUUAAAAUUUCUUAAAAAUGGACGUUUUUUCUUCAUUUUUUUAAAGUAAAAUAAUUUGCUUAAAACUUUGUUUAGGUUCUGAUAUUUAGGAAUGUGUAUUAAA